rnacentral:tRNA from 1 species
GGCCAGGUAGCUCAGCUGGUAGAUCAUGCGACUGAAAAUCGCAGGGUCGGCGGUUCGAUCCCGUCCAUGGCCA